rnacentral:rRNA from 1 species
UGGGGAAUAUUGCGCAAUGGACGAAAGUCUGACGCAGCGACGCCGCGUGAGGGAUGAAGGUCUUCGGAUCGUAAACCUCUGUCAGGGGGGAAGAAGUGUACAGGUGCUAAUCAGCCUGUAUUUGACGGUACCCCCAAAGGAAGCACCGGCUAACUCCGUGCCAGCAGCCGCGGUAAUACGGAGGGUGCAAGCGUUAAUCGGAAUUACUGGGCGUAAAGCGCACGUAGGCUGUUUUGUAAGUCAGGGGUGAAAUCCCACGGCUCAACCGUGGAACUGCCUUUGAUACUGCAAGACUAGAGUUCAGGAGAGGGUGGUGGAAUUCCAGGUGUAGGAGUGAAAUCCGUAGAUAUCUGGAGGAACAUCAGUGGCGAAGGCGGCCACCUGGCCUGAUACUGACGCUGAGGUGCGAAAGCGUGGGGAGCAAACA